UACGAGAGGCCCAAACGUUAUUCGGAAUUACUGGGCUUAAAGAGUUCGUAGGCGGCAUCGCAAGUAGGGUGUGAAAGCCCUCGGCUCAACCGAGGAAUUGCGCUCUAAACUGCAGUGCUUGAGGAACCUAGAGGUGAGCAGAACAGAUGGUGGAGCGGUGAAAUGCGUUGAUAUCAUCUGGAAUACCGGAGGCGAAGGCGGCUCACUGGGAGUUUUCUGACGCUGAGGAACGAAAGCCAGGGUAGCGAACGGG
rnacentral:rRNA from 1 species